rnacentral:rRNA from 1 species
GCAUCUAGAUUAGGGUUUGAUCCUGGCUCAGAUUGAACGCUGGCGGCAGGCCUAACACAUGCAAGUCGAGCGGUAGCACAGAGAGCUUGCUCUCGGGUGACGAGCGGCGGACGGGUGAGUAAUGUCUGGGAAACUGCCUGAUGGAGGGGGAUAACUACUGGAAACGGUAGCUAAUACCGCAUAACGUCGCAAGACCAAAGUGGGGGACCCUCGGGCCUCAUGCCAUCAGAUGUGCCCAGAUGGGAUUAGCUAGUAGGUGGGGUAAUGGCUCACCUAGGCGACGAUCCCUAGCUGGUCUGAGAGGAUGACCAGCCACACUGGAACUGAGACACGGUCCAGACUCCUACGGGAGGCAGCAGUGGGGAAUAUUGCACAAUGGGCGCAAGCCUGAUGCAGCCAUGCCGCGUGUAUGAAGAAGGCCUUCGGGUUGUAAAGUACUUUCAGCGAGGAGGAAGGCAUUAAGGUUAAUAACCUUGGUGAUUGACGUUACUCGCAGAAGAAGCACCGGCUAACUCCGUGCCAGCAGCCGCGGUAAUACGGAGGGUGCAAGCGUUAAUCGGAAUUACUGGGCGUAAAGCGCACGCAGGCGGUCUGUCAAGUCGGAUGUGAAAUCCCCGGGCUCAACCUGGGAACUGCAUUCGAAACUGGCAGGCUAGAGUCUUGUAGAGGGGGGUAGAAUUUCAGGUGUAGCGGUGAAAUGCGUAGAGAUCUGGAGGAAUACCGGUGGCGAAGGCGGCCCCCUGGACAAAGACUGACGCUCAGGUGCGAAAGCGUGGGGAGCAAACAGGAUUAGAUACCCUGGUAGUCCACGCCGUAAACGAUGUCGACUUGGAGGUUGUGCCCUUGAGGCGUGGCUUCCGGAGCUAACGCGUUAAGUCGACCGCCUGGGGAGUACGGCCGCAAGGUUAAAACUCAAAUGAAUUGACGGGGGCCCGCACAAGCGGUGGAGCAUGUGGUUUAAUUCGAUGCAACGCGAAGAACCUUACCUACUCUUGACAUCCAGAGAACUUAGCAGAGAUGCUUUGGUGCCUUCGGGAACUCUGAGACAGGUGCUGCAUGGCUGUCGUCAGCUCGUGUUGUGAAAUGUUGGGUUAAGUCCCGCAACGAGCGCAACCCUUAUCCUUUGUUGCCAGCGGUCCGGCCGGGAACUCAAAGGAGACUGCCAGUGAUAAACUGGAGGAAGGUGGGGAUGACGUCAAGUCAUCAUGGCCCUUACGAGUAGGGCUACACACGUGCUACAAUGGCAUAUACAAAGAGAAGCGACCUCGCGAGAGCAAGCGGACCUCAUAAAGUAUGUCGUAGUCCGGAUUGGAGUCUGCAACUCGACUCCAUGAAGUCGGAAUCGCUAGUAAUCGUAGAUCAGAAUGCUACGGUGAAUACGUUCCCGGGCCUUGUACACACCGCCCGUCACACCAUGGGAGUGGGUUGCAAAAGAAGUAGGUAGCUUAACCUUCGGGAGGGCGCUUACCACUUUGUGAUUCAUGACUGGGGUGAAGUCGUAACAAGGUAGCCGA